AGGGAUUUGAGUCCUUUUUUCUUGUUUCUCUUCUGUUUAUAAAUAAACAUUGCCACCGCCAACAGAAACAGUUCCAACAAAUAGAGUAUUGUUCUGCCUACACGAUGUUAUUCUGUUUUAGAUGUGCCAUGGAUGUUCUCUGUCGAUCUCUCUCCUCUGUUUCUUUUCUUAAAAUCACUACUGCCACCUUCUCUUCCCCACCGUCGGAUCCCUAUGAACUAUCUCCUUUAUCGGCGGCUUAUGGUUCAUAUUAGUGGGGAUAGAGGGGGAUUUGAUCAAGCAUAUCAGAUUGUGUUAUUUCACUGCCAUUAGUAACCCCCACCAGAGCACCAUUACAGUUUACCCUUUUCAUUAUCGGCAUCUCUCUUUUUCUCUAAAAAGCCCUAAUUGCCACCACGAAGACCAACUACAUGUAGUUCUUGAUAUGGUUCUACUUGCAACAUAUAUAGAAAUAUUAAGUAGUUUGAAAAUUCUGGUGCUUAUAAUGGUUCCCGUGAAGCCCGCACUACCAUUACCAUCGAGGUCACUCUCACACUAAUCCAUUCAUCUAAUCAUGUCAAGCCCAUGGAUCUUCUUGGCCACUUUUCAUGGCUCAAGAAGUCUUUAAUGAAGCUGGAGUAUGUGGAUUCUCGAAAGGCACUUAUGUGACUUUACUUAUGGUAUGUGUCAUAUGUUUGAUUUGGAAACAUAUUGUAAGGAAACAUCUUUAAAUUUGAUUUGGUUUUUGGAAGGACUGUAUGUAUGAUGAAAGGGGGUUAUUGUUGUGUAAAAUUAGAAAAGAAGGAAUUUAAUAAAUUCUUGGUUUGGCAAAUGCACAUGGACCUGCAUAAUCUGGAGGUAAAUGUUAGUGGUCAAAAAUUCUAUUAAUUAAGGGUAUUUGUAUUUGAUGUCAAA